rnacentral:lncRNA from 1 species
UCCAACAAAAUUCAAUGCAAAACAACAAUUAAGCUAAGAGAAAUCUUGCCUCAAAGUUGCCUGACUUUCUCGGCCUAGUCAGAGCACCCCUGGCCACAAAAACCCUUGCCCUUGCUCCAUUCCAGUUGUGCAAUGCAUAUGCUUUUAGCAUUCCAGAAACUAGAAUUGAAGCCGCAUCACCUCCAACAAUUUUUUUUUGAAAAUCUUGAGUGAAUUCCAAGAUAUGACCUUCCAAAGUAGCUUGAGUUGGCGGAGUGCUACAUCUUCACCACGGCCGACUCCUCUUCACUCCAACCACCAUAACUUCCUUGGCCUUUACUCAAUCUAAGCGUGCAAAUAGUCCUUGCAAAGCUGACAACAAGAACCAUCCCCCACAAAAGUUUCAGGUCCAAAUUCAAUAUUGUCCGCCAACACUCGCCUUCCAAAGUCGGACCUCCAGAUCUGGCCGGCAGCUGACCUCCUUGUCACUAAAACCACCACAACUUUCUUGUUUUCUCUCCAAACAAAGCGUGCCUACUGUCCCGAGGAAGCUAACGACAAGAUCUAACUAUUGGUAAAGUUUGACAUUCUAUUUCCAGAUAACUAAUACACUACAGCUGCACAAUUGCAGCUCUAUAGAAACAAGGGUACGUGGAGAUGCAAUUUGGCAUGGCUUCACCCCAAAAAAAAAAAAAAAAGAAAGAGAGCGAGUGUGGCCACCCCCACCCUCUUAUCCAAGUAGGAAGAGACCAAAGGGUGGCGGCCACAUCUCCACCAUCCGAAUCCACCAACCCUAAUCAAGAUCAAGGGUCCACAUUAACCCUAAGUCCUAAAUCCGAUUUUAGUGCUGGACAUGCCCAAAAUCUCCAAUUCGAAGCGUUUUUUGACAAAACUAACUCCACCAAUGUCUUUAAAACAUAUUUAAACAUCAAGUUUGACUAUUCAUAUACCCAAAUCUAAGUUCUAGAUCAUUAAGAACCAAUAAUUUGACAAAUCCAUCACAAUAAAUUUACUUCUAAUUAUUUUCUUCUCCUUUUUCUUCUUCUUCUCCUUGUCCCUCUUCAUCUUCUUCCUUCUUUCUUCUUGGCCUUUUUGUUUUGUUUUUGUUUUUUUUUUUUUUUUUUUUUCUUUUGAUUAUUUUUCUUAUCUUUCCCACCACUCCCUUCUCCCUUGAUUUUUCUUUCCACUACUAAUCAUCAAUAAGCCACUAACAUUAAUGUCUAUAACUAACUUAUUAUAACAAAACAUACUCAAAAUCCUCAUUUUUUUUAGAUUUUUUUAGUUUAACCAACAAUGUUAACCAACUUUUGGGCUCACAUAAUUGGCGACCAUCAGGGGACAAAUCCAGCUUGUACUUGCCAAUUUUUGUCUUUUAAAGUAUUUUCACCAUGCCAGUUCGUACUAUCGCCUUGUCAUAAGAUAGAAAGGUGAAGCUCUUGCCCAAAAUUGCGCUCCCUCAUGUCUUAUAUUCUUUACACCUGCUACCUGAUGUUCGUGUGGGAAACAAUUGACCAUUCAAGGUCUCCAAUUACAUGGAGUUGUUUAAAAACACCUCCUUGACAAAAUAAGGACCUAACCAUACGGCAUCAAACUUGCUUGGAAAGUCGAUCUUUCGAGCAUCUUGUAACAAUACUAGCAUACUAGGUUGCAAGACUCGAGUCUUGUUCCGUUUAUCAAACACGACCUUGCGCCGCCUCUGGAUGGCCUCAAUGUGUUGAGCCCCUCGUCUUCUGCUCUCAUCCAACGCCUCGAGCUCGUACAACCUUGUCUUUAAAGAUUGUCUGUCAGUCAAUCUGGAAUCUACUGCAAUCCGAAGGGAUGGAACCUCAAACUCAAUUAGUAAAACUGCUUCGAGUCCAUAGACUAGAGAGAAUGGCAUAGCCUGCGUGGUCACCUUGAAUAUUGUUCUAUAUGCCCAUAAGGCGGCUGGCAGUUUCACAUCCCAAUCACGCUUGGAGUCUCUAACAGUUUUCCUCAAUAUAGUACCAAGUGUUUGGUUGACUUGCUCUGUCUGACCAUUGGUUUGAGGGUGAUAGGGUGUAAUCUUUCGGUGAUCAAUCUGGAAUCGCUCAGUCAUGGAUUCAAUCACCUCGUUGAGGAAAUGAGUACCUCGAUCACUCACAAGGAUCUUCGGGACUCCAAAUCUAGUAAUCACAUUCUCAAAGAAAAAGAUUGCAGCAUUCUUGGCAUCAUUUGUCCUCACAGCCUUGGCUUCAGCCCACUUAGUGAGAUAUUCAGUGGCCACUACAAUAUAUGCCAUUCCUCGAGAUGAAUGAGGAUGAAUCUCUCCCACGUAAUCGAUGCCCCACUUCUCGAAUGGCACCAAUGGUAGGAAAAUGUGAAGCGGCAACUGCAUGUGAAUGUCAUUCCUAGCAAAUCUUUGACAUGCAUCACAAUGCUUCACAUAGGUAUGAGCGUCCUUACUAACCAUAUAUCCCAACAAAAUGCCUCUAUUCAAGGCAAGAUAGGUUUUUUCUGGAUUCAGGGCCAUUCAAGCUUUCUUGUACCUCUCUAAGCUUUCUUUCACCAAAUGAAUGUGAGAAUCUGCAUCAGAUUGGGUGCUGAAAUCAUCAAUGAACACGGUCAUUGAUUUGUAUAACAAGUCUGAGAAGAUAGACAUCACCAGACAUUAGAAAGUAGCAGGGGCGUUACAUAAUCCAAAUGGCAUCACAUGCCACACAAACGUCCCCCAAGGUGUUGUAAAUGCAGUCUUGUGUCGAUCUUCAGGUGCAAUAGACACUUGGUUGUAUCCAGAAUAUCCAUCCAUAAAUGUGUAUAAAUCGUGACCUGCCACUUCUUCUAAGAUGCUAGUGAUAAAUGGCAAGGGAAAGUGGUCUUUUUGGGUGCAAAAAUUCAACUUCCUAUAAUCCACACACACCCUAAGUUUACCAUUCUUCUUCUUUACAAGCACCAUGGAAGAGACCCAAUCUGUGAUCUCAAUAGGUUUAAUAAAACUUGCUUGGAGUAAUUUCUCCAGUUCCUCUUUCACAAUCAAUUGAAGCUGAGGAUUCAUUCUCCUCUCCUUUUGCCUGAUCGGCACUGCACCAGUCAUCAAGGGAAUUCGAUGUUCUACAAUCUCAGGAGGAAUCCCCUUUAACUCCUUGUAAGCCCAUGCAAAGACCUCCCGAUACUCUCUUACCAACUCACAGUAGGCCUUGAUCUCUUCAUCCUCUAAUUGGCUUUCCAUCUUCAUUUGUCUUGGUUCUUCUCCUUCAAACUCCACUGUCACAAACUUCCAAUCUUCCUUAGCAACGUGAGAUUGCUCAUUGUUAUCUCGAUACCAAUCCGAAGGCACAUUGGGAUAACUGAAAACGUCUUCUCCAACCGUAAUUCCCGAAGAACCAGUCUUAAAUUUCAAUGAUCCUCCCAAAUGCUCACUUUCCUCUAAAACCUCUACUCCUUCAACAUCCUCUAUUCCAAUCAAAUGGACAUCUACCUCAAUUAAAGGUGUCAAACCAUCGUCCAACUCCAUUCCAAUGAGAUUCAAUCCUGCCGUCAAUUCUGAUGAAGAAUCAGGGUUGUCCUGGAGCCACUUGGCAUACUCUCCAUUGUCUGACCAAUGGUAGAGAUUUGGACCAAGACACUUCAAGGUUUGAACCUCAGCUUCAAACGUCAUCCCAUCCAUGGAUUUUAAUGGUGUGCCUUCUCCAAUAGAUAUGGUGUCAACCACCUCGAGUCCUAUCAAAGGCUUGAUUCUAACUUUAGUGGGGUUUUCAUAUGGACCGUAAACUAUGGAGGGCUUAUCACCACUCGACAUGAUGGUGGCAUUGGCCAUCCUCAACCACGGACGACCUAAGAGAAGUGGAAAAGAUUCUUUGGAAGUGUGCAUCCUGAUAACAUGGAAGGUCACUAAGUAAUCCUCCCCUCCUGUAGAGAUUUUACAGUUCGUGAUCUGGCCUAAAGGCCUCACAAGACUCUGAUCUGCCAUGUUUAAUAUAAAUGGUGAAGGUCCGGUUAAAUUCAACCCCAACUUCUCCAUGGUAUGAAGUGGCAUGAUGUUAAGCCCACUACCUCCAUCAAUGAGUACAUUCGGAACCACCUUGACUACGAUAGUGACCUCGAUCUCCACUGCCUUCACAUCCACUGGCCUAAUAGAUGCUUGUACCCUAGCCAUUGUCCUCUUCUGAGUCUUCUUCUUCCUCUUCGCCCUAGGCAAUCCUUCUUUGAAACUCUUCCUCAUCAAAGGAGAUAUCUCCAAUAGUUGAGCAAUUGAGAUGUCAGCCUUUAUCCUCCACAAGUCCCUCCAGAGAUUAUACUUCUAGUAAGAGGUUGGCGUCGUACGACCCAACCCUCCAAACUCCUCCUCUGGAAUAUCUGGACCCUCCCAUUCACCCGGUUCUAACCCUUUACCUGGAUCAGAGCCUUCAGAUGACCUUUCAUCACCUACUGCGGUACCUACCUCCCUUCUAAUUCUUGCCGCCUCCUUUGCAGCCGCCUCAAGAGCUACUAAAUCCAACAACUCUUCAAACUCACUACUAUCUGAGUCUUCUUCAUCGAUUGGUGAUUGCCUAUGAGCUUGCCCUCGGGUAAUCACAUCCAAAGUAGCAUUCUCAUGGCCACCGCCUCCGUCUUUCUUCAAUUCGUGGGUCACUAAAUUAGAAGGUGCUUCAUGUUCUUCAAUCACCACUGUGGUCUUUGCUAGAGGUGGCGCAGGACCCUUCAAUAAGACCUCUUCUGCUACUCUAACAUCUUAGUUAGAAGAUGGACCUUGUUUCUGGUUUGCAUAGUUUCGAUAGCCGCCUUGUUGAUUUUGGGCAACUGGGAUAUAACCUUGGCGGCUUAGUAACCCUUCCGGAGGUUGAUGGUUUUGUCUGAAAUCCUCAUAGUUGUAGUAGAGAUUAGGAGGUUUUAGGCCCCUCUGAUCAUCACCAUGAGGUCGUCUCUGAUCUCUCAUAUUAUUUCGCGCGUUCUCAUAAGGAUUUGUUAUUCGUGGUGGUAGUUGAAUUACCUUAUCAGGUUGUCUACAUUCAUGGGUAGGGUGAUUGCCACCACAAUUGCCACACGGCCAUGGUUGGCCAUCAUCCCAACACUGACUCGGCUCAUGCCAUCUCCUGCAAAGCUCAUGGUACUCCUUCCGAGGCUUGCCACUUCAACCAUAUCCUUGAGGACCACCUUGAUAACCUCCUUGCCGCUGCUAAGGUCCUCUAUCUCUUCUAUAGCCCUGUGUUGGCUAGUACGGUUGAGGAUUUGGAUUACCUUGAGGCCUUACUCGGCACUGAAGAGAUGAAUGCCCAUUUUGGCCACAAGUAGUGCACCAAACCCCCAAGUUAUGGUUACCAGACUCUAUCCGAGGAGGUGGGGUGUUUGAAUUUUGAUUCUUUACCAUGAAUGCCAUCUGCUCAGUCAAGGCUUGGAUCUGCUUCAUCAUGGAGUCUUGAAAACCUUCUUGUCCGGCCUAUAUUUUCUUCUCCAAGUCUUCCACUCUCCUCUCCAAUUGUGGCUCUGGUAACGCCAAUAAGGGUACCGGAGCUCUGAUGGCCAUGGGCAUGACAUUAUAAUAUUAGGCACCAUUUUUGACUAUCAGAGGUGUACUUGACGUGCUUGGUCCUACCGCUUGGCUUACGGGAUUAAUUGGAAUAAACCCCGGGAUAGACUAAUCUUCCUUCCUCCAAUGCCUUUCAUAACUUCUCUCGAUUAAAUCUACAACGCGCGCCGCUGUUUUGACUUCCUCCAAAGUGGCUGGAUUUCUCUCUAAUACUCCCUUGAUUGUAGAUCGAUUAGCAAAUCCUUCAAUGAAGAAUUGUUUUAACGUAUCGCCAUUCAACAAUCCUCCUACAUAACGCAUGCAGACCAAGUCAAACCUCCUGAUGUAGUUAGCCAUUUUCUCAUCUCUUUGCUGUCGUACCGCUCCCAGUGCUCUCAAGGCUGUACUUUGUCCAACCUCCGGCCUAAAGUGGUUUAAGAAGGCUACUUGCAACUGGGACCACGUGGUAAAAUGUCCCUCAUCAUCGUCCCAGUACCAAUUGUAAGCCUCACCGUGUAAGGUUUCGGGGAACCAAACCAGGUAAUACCCCUCGUUCCCAAUGAGGGAUGUUGUCAAAAUCUCUAUGUACCUCUCCAUGUGUAGGGUUGGAUCCUCGUCCUUGGUGCCAUAGAACUUGGAGAGAUUCCCUGGAACUGUGGCCACUAAUUGCCCUGCUGGCAUAGCCACGGGCAAACCUCGUGGCCUAACUAACAGAUCCAAAGCUGGAAGCCGCUCCGUCGCCAUCUCGUAAACAAAUCCUUCGACCGCAGGCACAAAGUCCAAGGUCCUAUCCUGUUCUCCUAUUUUCCUAAGGUUCACGUCUCCAAACACUCCGUCUUCAGGGUCUACGUUGUCAUAUUACGUGCUUUCCUGCUCGAGAACGCGCCGGGCGUCUGGCUGUAGAAGGUAGUAUGGAGAUUCGCCGAUAGUCAAGCAGUCUAUCAGUUUUUGACUGCUGGAAUAUAAACGACUGCAGCAAUGUACCGUAAAUCUAUACGGGUGCUCUUCGACUGCUUGUCGAAGUCCUUUUUGCCCCAGCCGGUAGGUCUCUAGACGUUACAGAGAACCCCGUACAACCCAAACUGUUAACCUUCAAUACUGCUUUGUACUUACGAUCUUGUAUCCACUGACUGUCUUGUUAGAUUAACCCAAUAAAUUUCAUUCACUCCGCAUAUUCAAUCCUAUAGACACCCUUUUAAUCCUUCAAUCACAGACGUAAUUCGAUUUCACAAAACAGUCAAGAGUAUUCAAACCCACUUCAUUUAAAAAUCCCGAUUCACCAUUAUAACACUGACUUCAGCAGCGAUUGCCUCAGUCUUCCCCAAAACUCUACGAAGAAGAAAAAUCCAAAUUCUAUGUCUUUCCUUCCCCGACCCAAAGCAUGAAGCUCCUCUCUCUAAUUCCCUUGAUCUUCAAAAAAACUCCAAUAAAAAAAAACCGAACUGGUAACCUUGCAGAAGCUUGAAAAAUCCUUCCCCCCCGAUUUCCCCUCAAAAAAAAAACCACCCCCAAAACUAUAUCCCACCUAACCUUAUCCUCUGAAUUUCUUCAAUCUUCCAUCUUAGAUCCGGAAUUGGCUCCCACCGUCAAGCUUGGAUCCGAAAUUGGCUCUCGCCGUCAAGCUUUCUCCUCCAUUUUUGCCUUUAAGAAAUCCAUUUACCAAAAACAACGUUCCCUGAGACGGCACAGAGAACAGGACAGCCUGAAACAGAAUCGAACCCCAUAAUCGGGACCACAUUGAGUCGCCCGACCAAUUCAGGUCCUAUAUUGGGAAAGAUGCCCGUAGUAACCUGGAUGUUCCUGUAAUUGGGUCAAAUUGGUCCUCGCGUCAGAUUAGCUAAGACCCGUAGUAAGACCCGGAUUGGAUUAUCGAAAUUGGAUCCAAUUGGCUCCUCGAACCCGUCUUGUGAAUUGGUCCUUCUCUUCCUGCUGACUCCCGUUAUUGGGAUCGAAUGGAGCAUUUCAGUAUGCCCCGGCUGACUGUAACGGAGUGACUGAACCUGACCACUCAGUAUUUGUACUGGAGUUGGUCGAUGCUCCCAAUAUUCGAGGUAACUGAAUAUUAAUAAAAUUCCCCUUUCUUUUUAUUUUCACUGUAUAAUCGUGUUACAACACGACAUCCACCCCCUCUGAACCUGUGCAUCCUCUGGUAUGCACCAAUUUACCCAAUUGCUGUUUGAUUCAGAAUAUAUCCCCUACGUCUUUGUCCAGUUCGUCGUCGUCACCUUCAUUAUUCAUAUCACUUUCAUCUUCUUGCUGCGGAAUCUCUGUACCUUCAUUAAGGUCUUCCAUAUUCAUCUCUGUGUGUCUUCGUUUAAAUAUUUUUACUCUCUUCCCUGCAAUUGGUAUUUUCAAUUUUGUACCAUCUAACUCCCGUAAUGAGUAAGUCGCAUUAUCAUGAACAGUUGUUACAACAUAUGGUCCAAACCAACGUUUUGAAAAUUUCCGCAAAGUACUAUGUUGAUUAUCGAGACUAUUGUCAUAAACAAGUACCCAGUCACCUUCCUCGAUUGCUUUUGGUCUCAAUCGAUGUUGCUUAUCGAAUCGCGCCUUGUUUUGUAACCUUGCUCUUUUUAACCUUUCCAAUACUAUCUGGACAUCUUUCGUUCUUUGCUCCAAUUGUCGAAUCCUAAUAGCCAGAAGUUCUUCUCUUGUCAAUCCAUCUUCCCAUGGUAGCAUAUUCUAAGUAAGUACCUUUUCUUCAAUCGGCAUAAUUGGUUUUUGACCUGUCAUAAGUUCUACUGGCAUAUAUCCUGUCACCGCAAUAUGUGUUGUUCGAUCAGCCCAUAAUGCAAAUGACAAAAGCCGUGGCCACUCUUUAACUUUCCCAUUACAAGCUUUAACCAAUGCUUUCACAAUCGGCGGGUGACCGCGUUCGCUUUUCGCAUUCCCUUCCGGAUUAUAAGCAGUAGUCAGUGAUAGUUUAACUCCACAUUUUUCAAAGAACUUACGAGCUUCUUGUGCAUUUAAUUCUCCACGAUCUGCAAUGAUUUUUCCUACGCACCUGUAACGGCAAAUGACAUCUUCAAGCAAAAACCUACAAAUCCCCUCUGUAGAUUUUGUCCUCAAUGCUCUUCCUUCUACUUGAUUUGAUAAAUCUUCACGAGCUAAAACCAAAUAUCUCAUCUGCCAUAACCCAACUGGCAUAAUAACCAAAUCAACAACCCAUUUAAAAUGAAUAGCCAGAGGAUACGUAGGAUGAAGACCAUCUCGAUGUCGGAUAUUAGAAUACGAUUGACAGAUUUCACAUGACUUUACAAAUGAGAGCACAUCUCGAUACAUAUUUUUCCACCAAUAUCGUUCCUUGAGUUUAGCAAAAGUAGCCCAGAUUCCUCUAUGCCCUGCCCAUAAACUAUCAUGAAACUCCUUUAAUAAUUUUAGUUUUUCUUCCCUUUUGCCUAUCACUCGUUGUGGCAUCCCAAUUCCUUUCUUCGGUCUCUUCCAUAAGAAUCCAUCUCGAAGUAAAAAUCCAUAUGCUUUUUUUCUUAUUUAUUUGAAUUUUUCUGUAGACCAAUUUCCCUGCUUAGACAAGGUAUUCAAAUAAUGACCAAUAUCCAAUAAUUCUCCUUCAUAAGAUUCUUCAAGAAAUAGCUUGUCUUCUCUGUUGAGAUUCGAUAUUGAAUAGAAUUUCAAUCCGACAUCAUCAAUGUCUUCAACCAUUUCGUCCUCCCUCUCGUAUCUUGCUCGAGAUAGCAUGUCUGCUACUAAAUUGUCCUUUCCAGUGAUAUGCUUAAAUUCUGGAUUUAGUGACUUAAUAUAAGCAAUCCAUCUCAACAUUGCAAUAUCUGGCGUUGAACAAUUAAUAAUCAUUCCAAGCAAUGGCAAGCAAUCUGUUUCAAUUACUACUACUGCCCCAAUCAAAUAGUCCUUUUCAGCUUUCAUAGCCGAAACGACUCCCCAAAGUUCUCUUUUGACUUGCGAAUAUGUACGCUAACGAAUACUUAAAACUUUAGCCCCAAAUCAAACUGCAAAUCUACUCCCAUUCGAAUCAUCUUGACCCACCGCCCAUCCAACGGCAAUUGGACUAGCGUCUACAAUAAGAAUCACUGGUCUAUUGCACUUAUAAUCAACCUUCCUCAAUAUUGGAGGUGACAUCAAUAAUUUCUUCAAUCUUUGCAUUACCUGAAUAUGCCUUCCUUUCCAUUCAAAUCGGUAACCCUUGCGUAACACUUCAUAUAAUGGAUCCGCUAUGUGAGCAAAAUGAAGGAUCCAGAUUCGAUAAAAUAUACAUGCACCCAAAAACCUGUGAACCUCUGUUAAAGAACCACAAUCCUCUUUCAUCCUUCCAAUUGCAUCAACUUUAGUCGGAUCUGGUUUUCUUCCGUAAGAUCCGCAUAAUUGUCCAACAAUUACAACCUCUCGCACUCCAAAUACGGACUUCAUACCCGAUAAUGUAAGAUGAACUUCUCCAAGCCGAGUUAAAAUCUUUUCACAAUCUUGUAUAUGAUCAACAACAUAUCUGCGACACCCCCUCAUAUCUAAAGUUUCAUCCUUGUCUCCUUCUCUGCACCCUUUUAUAGGAACAUCAUCCAGAAAAGGCAUAGUCUUUUCCGGAAUAAAAUCUCUCAAUACCUUAUUCAUCCCAUUCAUCAUAUGCGCAACUGAGUUGGUUGCGCCUUGAGGGAGAGUGCACAUUCUAACCAAUCCAAGCGGUGUUCUCAUCGUUGUCAUAUCUCUACUUCCUUCGGCAAGUUGAAAUUGAUCAUAACCUGAAUACAAAUCACCCAUUGAAUAGAUCGCCCUUCCAGUAAACGCCUCAGCAAAUUCAUCCACAAUAGGUCCAAUUCCUGCAUUCCUGACAGUUAAAGCAUUCACUGGCUGCAUAUUUUGAAUAAACCGUAGUGACCCAUUCUUCUUAGGUACCGUAAACCAUCGACUAGAAUACGGCGCAAAUGAAGGUUCUAAUAUUUUCAUCUUUAUCUUUUCUUUGAAUAGUUCCACCAAUUUAGGUAAAUGUGCCCUCGGUACUGGAAUCGAGCUUAGAUUCCAAGGUACAUGCAGUACAGUGAAGAUAACCAUAGGUGUUAUAAUAUUUGGAUCCACACACCCAAUUUCAUGAGAUUCGAAGGCAAACGAUCUACCUUGUUUAGCCAACAUCUUUUUGAAGCAAGUAAUUUCCUCCGGCAAUAAAGAACCAUCAGAACCAAUCUUCAAUUCUUCAAAAGUCUCUUCAGUAAACUGAUGUCCAAUACUCAUUGGAUCUCUUAAACUUGCUUCUUUUGAUGCUUCUCCCAUUUGUUCUUUAGAAUCCUCUGGUAAUGGUCCGGCAACAGGCUUUACCUUCUUAUCUGCCAUUUUAUAUCUCGUCUCUACUGUGACUUCUGGUGGUUGAAAAGAUUCAAGCAUGGUAUAAACCUCUCUCGAAUGAAUCUCAACAAUCUUAUCAUUAUCCCCUAACCCAAUAGAUGUAAUCAAUUCCAAUGAAUCUUCUAUCCCAUUUUCUUCAUAAACACCCAAAAUCCUCUCAUCAUCUUGCAAUGUACCUAUCUUGCGUAACUGUCCUUCAAUAUCAUAUAAUCUUUUUCUUUCUUUUCUUUUAAAAUCUUCAACUUUCUUAUACAUAAUAUUUCCAUUCUCCAAUAUACCAAUAAAACUCGCAUCAAAGGCACCUUCAUCUCGCGAGAGUACCUCCUCUUUUGUACCUCCAUAAUCUUGCUUUACAGUGGUACCUCCCCAAAAUCCUUAAAUCCUUCAACAAUCUUUCGCAAUGGUUUCUCCUCAACCUAUCUCGAUUCCGUUCAUGGUUAGGAGGUAUUGUUAGAAAUUGUACAGUUUUCCUCCCAUCCUCGCUACAUACCCUUGCUUAAGUAAAACCAUCGUCAAGUACUUUUGUUUCCAUCCGUGUUGCCAUAAUAUAAGGUUGUCCUAAAAUCAACGGAUAAGACGUUGUAUCUUGAACGAAGAAAUGUUGCUCCGUCGCAACAUCCCCAAUCCGAAUUUUGACAUCUGGACAAGCUCCAUAUAAUUCGCCUCGUGUGUUAUUAGCUGCUCGUAUUGUCCAUCCAUGUUCCAUAUCAAUUGGCCAUUUUUGCUUCUUAUAAAGAUCUUUAGACAUGAGAUUUAUUUCAGAACCAUGGUCCACCAAAGCAACUAUUGGUUCCUCUAUAUCUCCUACCUUCACCAAUACCUCAGUAGUUGCCCUUGCCCAAUGCUUUCGAGUAUAAUGGCUCAAAGUUUCCAUUUCCUUGUCACUAGAAUCGUCGAAACAUACUCGCUGAUUAUACCCAUUCUUUUCAUUUGUUGGUUGCUUGUAACCAAUAUCAACCUCUUCUUCAUCUCUACAUAUUCUUGCAUCAAUAGCAUGACUCAUUCCAGUUUCGCUCAUUAAUUACCUCUUUCGCUUAAUACUGUCAAUGAUAACAUCAUGAAACUCCUUCUUUGUAAUUUUUAAGACUUCUUUCAAUGUGAAUUCCACCUUAGCGUUUAAUAUACGUUCUUCCAACACCCCUUUCAAAUUUGUUGCCGCUUCAAUGUCCGAAAGUAGCUUAUAAGCAAUUGAUUUGCCCUUAUCUUUUGUCUCCGUUGUUUUUUCUCCCAAUGAUGUUGAGGUAUCCUUUACAGGCAAUUCUUGUGAAGAUGCCUCCCGAGCCUUGUCUCCUCGAGUUUGCCUCUUAAAAGAAUUUCCUUCUCUAGUAUCAUCAAAAUUUUCUCGUCUUUUUUCUUCCAUCAAAGCUUCAUGUUGGCUCUUAGCAAUAUAUGCAUGAACUGAAAGAGACUCAACGGGAUCCUCCCAACCUGUUGUUCCUCGUAUUGUAGCUGUAGUUCUCAAUAACGCUUCUCGAGGUAAUUUCCCUUCUUGCAUUGUAGAAACGGCAGAAGCCCAAAACUCACUAGUUUCCGUACUUCCACCAAUUCCAUCAUCUACUCUAGCACCAUAACUUGCACUUUCUCGUGUUACUGUUUCAUGCCCUUUUAAGUAAUCUUGAACCAAUGCUCUCAUUCCUCCCUUGCCAAAAUUGGUUUGAAGAAGAUCCUCCCUAUCUUUCAAUACUAUCUUCCCAUCUUUCCAGCAAAUAAUUCCCUGCCGUAUCAUAUUAUUAAAUUCAUUGCAAUCUUUUCUAGUGUGUGAAGCAUCAUUACACCAAAUGCAUCUUUGUACAUAUCCUUGUUUUGAAACAUUCUUCGAAUUAUUUAUAGAAGUAUUCUCUUCAAGUCUUGCCAAUUUGAUUUGAAGAUCUCGCAUUCCUCGUAUAAUUUCUUCCAUACCCAUAUCUGCUUUCUUUGACAAGGAUGUCGAAGGUUGAACUGUAGGCAUUGUCGGUGGUGUAGUACGUACUGGAGCUUUGGGUGCUUGUACUGGUUUCGGAAUAUUACUCCUAUCCUUCCUCCUUUCUUUUUUUGUAAGCAACCUCACCGCAUCUUCAACGUUCUUCCACUUCGUUGUCAAUCCUUCAUCUUCUUCUUUGUCUUCAAGAAGGGGUUCUAAUUUCUCUUGUAAUUCUCCAUCAGCAGCUUGAAGAAAUAGAUCAACUUUUUUUGGCUCCAAUGUCAAUUUUUCUACCUUCGAUAAUUGAGAGUACUGCCUCUCAAAUUCCCUUAGUAGCUCUGUUGCUUGCAAAUUCUUAUUGGGCCGUUCAAUCCAUCCCAGAAACAGCUUCUUAGUAACACGAUCAGCAUCUUCCAAGAAAUAUUCGUCUUUCAAUGCAUGUGAAAAAUCCUCCCAUGAAUUCCCACAACGAUCCGUAAUCGAUGUAAUGUGGUCCCUUAUCUCCGGUAUCGUGGCAAGUCCAAAUAGUGCAACCAUUUUCUUCUCAGAAACCCGAUUUAAUUCCAUUUCACGAACAUAACAUCUUAAAUACCUUGAAAUAUUCCUCCCAUCAAAUUGAUCAAUUUUAUUGACCACUGCUUGCAAUGCUUUGGUUGCCAAAGCUUCCUUUCGAUCAUUGCUUUGCUGUUGCUGCAUUGACAAUGAGAAGGCUUGAAACAAACUAGCAAUAGACGGAUCCAUGUGCAUACCUUGUCCUUUAGAAGACUCCCCACCAGAAACUUCUCCCAAAAAUCCUUCAAAAUUUUUAUUUUCGUUUUCCAUAAAAAUAAAGAUAAAAUCAACCGAAAUCCAAUACCUUCUACCUCAAGCUUUCACGUCGGGUUCACCACUUAUGUCGUAUUACGUGCUUUCCUGCUCGAGAACGCGCCGGGCGUCUGGCUGUAGAAGGUAGUAUGGAGAUUCACCGAUAGUCAAGCAGUCUAUCAGUUUUUGACUGCUGGAAUAUAAACGACUGCAGCAAUGUACCGUAAAUCUAUACGGGUGCUCUUCGACUGCUUGUCGAAGUCCUUUUUGCCCCAGCCGGUAGGUCUCUAGACGUUACAGAGAACCCCGUACAACCCAAACUGUUAACCUUCAAUACUGCUUUGUACUUACGAUCUUGUAUCCACUGACUGUCUUGUUAGAUUAACCCAAUAAAUUUCAUUCACUCCGCAUAUUCAAUCCUAUAGACACCCUUUUAAUCCUUCAAUCACAGACGUAACUCGAUUUCACAAAACAGUCAAGAGUAUUCAAACCCACUUCAUUUAAAAAUCCCGAUUCACCAUUACAACACUGACUUCAGCAGCGAUUGCCUCAGUCUUCCCCAAAACUCUACGAAGAAGAAAAAUCCAAAUUCUAUGUCUUUCCUUCCCCGACCCAAAGCAUGAAGCUCCUCUCUCUAAUUCCCUUGAUCUUCAAAAAAACUCCAAUAAAAAAAAACCGAACUGGUAACCUUGCAGAAGCUUGAAAAAUCCUUCCCCCCCGAUUUCCCCUCAAAAAAAAAACCACCUCCAAAACUAUUUCCCACCUAACCUUAUCCUCUGAAUUUCUUCAAUCUUCCGUCUUAGAUCCGGAAUUGGCUCCCACCUCAAGCUUGGAUCCGAAAUUGGCUCUCGCCGUCAAGCUUUCUCCUCCGUUUUUGCCUUUAAGAAAUCCAUUUACCGAAAACAACGUUCCCUGAGACGGCACAGAGAACAGGACAGCCUGAAACAGAAUGGAACCCCGUAAUCGGGACCACAUUGAGUCGCCCGACCAAUUCAGGUCCUAUAUUGGAAAAGAUGCCCGUAAUAACCUGGAUGUUCCUGUAAUUGGGUCAAAUUGGUCCUCGUGUCAGAUUGGCUAAGACCUGUAGUGAGACCUGGAUUUUCCGUAAUUAGACUGCACUGGGUUGACCGGCCAAUUCAGGUCUCAUAUUGGAUAAGAGGACCCGGAUUGGAUUAUCGAAAUUGGAUCCAAUUGGCUCCUUGAACCCGUCUUGUGAAUUGGUCCUUCUCUUCCUGCUGACUCCCGUUAUUGGGAUCGAAUGGAGCAUUUCAGUAUGCCUCGGCUGACUGUAACGGAGUGACUGAACCUGACCACUCAGUAUUUGUACUGGAGUUGGUCGAUGCUCCCAAUAUUCGAGGUAACUGAAUAUUAAUAAAAUUUCCCUUUCUUUUUAUUUUCACUGUAUAAUCGUGUUACAACACGACAACGUGUUCUAUCUCUAACUCCUCCACUUCCAACUCCUCCAAUACCUCGUUGCCCCCGACAUCUCCUAAAGCCUUUUCUAAAUUCCUUCUAAUGUCUCCUUUAAGAAAUUCUUCAUUACUUCUACUAUUAAUGAGUGUAUUCCGAGAAGGGGUUGCUUCCUUGUUAUCCACGACCUUGCCGCCACGUCUUCCAAUACGUUCAAGUCCUUGGUUCAAAGUAGGUUUUUGAGAUCUAGUUUUCGGGAACAUCUAAACGUCCUCACUGACCUUCUCUCAUUACCUACUAACCCAUUUUUUUUUUUUUUUUUUUUUUGAAAUUUUUACAUUGAUAAUUAAUAAUCUAGCCUACCCUCAGGUGGGUAGGGAACGCAAACCACCAAGAUAGUAUUUACGGGCGAUGACAUGGAAUUCACCAAGGCAAACCAGCCCGCUAGUCCAAUCUUGGCAUACGGUACAACCUAUGUUGUGGGGCUUACCCGGUCAGUAAACGAGACACUGUGAUUCCGCCUUCGCGGCCAGAACCUCCCUCGUUCUCAAUUCAGCUCACUGCCGAGGCAUUAUCCACUAACAAGGCAACGACAACGACGAAUUAUAAUCCUAAGUUAACAUAGAUCAUUCAAUGUAUGAUAGCUUACCUCAUGCAAUUCCAGCUUCCUGCACAAUUAAUAUACCACCGGCCUCUCGAUCACAUGCUAAGGUUUCUAGCACAAACUACCAUAGAUAUCCCUAGGACCCACAUACCUUCUGCUGUGCUCCUUCCAAUCACGACCCCAUCAUUUUACUCCUAUUAUCUCCUUCCUCCAUGUAAUCAAUCAUCUCAACUCAAAAAAAAAAAAAAAAAAAAAAAAAAAAAAAUUGUUAGACAACGUCUCUAAGAUCGGCUCCCGGCAAACACACCAUUUAUGUGAGCUAAAUUCCUCCACCCUUAAUUGCAUUUAGUAGUCAAGUGGAUUAACUUCACUCACACGCAAUUUUUAUAAAUCCUAAGUUCAUCUAUAAAUCCUAAGUUCAUCCAUAAAUCCUAAGUUCAUCCAUAAAUCCUAAGUUCAUCCAUAAACCCUAAGUUCAUCCAAAAACCCUAAGUUCAUCCAGAAACCCUAAGUUCAUCCAAAAACCUGAAGUUCAUCCAAAAACCCUAAGGUUCAUCUAAAAACCCUAAGUUCAUCCAAAAAUCCUAAGUUCAUCCAUAAACCCUAAGUUUAUCCAUCUUAAAUUUCCCUUCAUCAAUCAUCCAUCCCUUAAAUCUCAUUCAUCCUAUAACAUUCAUUCAUUCAAAGUUUGUUCAUCCAAUUUUCAUCUAAAGAUUCAUUCAUCCAACCAUAAGUCAACUUAUCAUCCAACUGAUAAUUCGUGCAAUUGACCUAAUUCAUCCAAGAUUCAUCCUAAAAAUUAAAGAAAAUUGGAAGUCGCCACCUUCCAAGUCAUGGUAGCGACCCCCUUGCACGAAUUCCACUACAAUGGUUGCAUCACUAACUUGUUUAUAACAAGCUUUGCUAUUUUAGAAAGUAGACUUACAAGCGCUUGUCCUCCAACAAAAUUCAAUGCAAAACAACAAUUAAGCUAAGAGAAAUCUUGCCUCAAAGUUGCCUGACUUUCUCGGCCUAGUCAGAGCACCCCUGGCCACAAAAACCCUUGCCCUUGCUCCAUUCCAGUUGUGCAAUGCACAUGCUUUAGCAUUCCAGAAACUAGAAUUGAAGCCGCAUCACCUCCAACAAUUUUUUUUUGAAAAUCUUGAGUGAAUUCCAAGAUAUGACCUUCCAAAGUAGCUUGAGUUGGCGGAGUGCUACAUCUUCACCACGGCCGACUCCUCUUCACUCCAACCACCAUAACUUCCUUGGCCUUUACUCAAUCUAAGCGUGCAAAUAGUCCUUGCAAAGCUGACAACAAGAACCAUCCCCCACAAAAGUUUCAGGUCCAAAUUCAAUACUUUCCGCCAACACUCGCCUUCCAAAGUCGGACCUCCAGAUCUGGCCGGCAGCUGACCUCCUUGUCACUAAAACCACCACAACUUUCUUGUUUUCUCUCCAAACAAAGCGUGCCUACUGUCCCGAGGAAGCUAACGACAAGAUCUAACUAUUGGUAAAGUUUGACGUUCUAUUUCCAGAUAACUAAUACACUACAGCUGCACAAUUGCAGCUCUAUAGAAACAAGGGUACGUGGGGAUGCAAUUUGGCAUGGCUUCACCCCAAAAAAAAA